UACGGGGGGGGCAAGCGUUGUUCGGAAUUACUGGGCGUAAAGGGCGCGUAGGCGGCCUUCUAAGUCGGACGUGAAAUCCCUCGGCUUAACCGAGGAACUGCGUCCGAUACUGAAAGGCUUGAAUCCGGGAGAGGGAUGUGGAAUUCCAGGUGUAGAGGUGAAAUUCGUAGAUAUUCGCAAGAACACCAGUGGCGAAGGCGGCUCACUGGCCCGAUACUGACGCUGAGGUGCGAAAGCGUGGGGAGCAAACAGG
rnacentral:rRNA from 1 species